rnacentral:rRNA from 1 species
GACAGAGGGUGCAAGCGUUGUUCGGAAUUAUUGGGCGUAAAGAGCGCGUAGGCUGUUUUAAAAGUCUUAUGUGAAAUAUUUUAGCUUAACUAAAAAAGUGCAUGAGAUACUUUAUUACUAGAGUGUCGGAGAAGAUGGCGGAAUUCUCGGUGUAGAGGUGAAAUUCGUAGAUAUCGAGAGGAACACCUGCGGCGAAAGCGGCCAUCUAGAAGAUUACUGACGCUGAAGCGCGAAAGUGUGGGGAUCAAACAGG